rnacentral:rRNA from 1 species
UAGGGAAUCUUCGGCAAUGGACGGAAGUCUGACCGAGCAACGCCGCGUGAGUGAAGAAGGUUUUCGGAUCGUAAAGCUCUGUUGUUAGAGAAGAACGUUGGUAGGAGUGGAAAAUCUACCAAGUGACGGUAACUAACCAGAAAGGGACGGCUAACUACGUGCCAGCAGCCGCGGUAAUACUUAGGUCCCGAGCGUUGUCCGGCUUUAUUGGGCGUAAAGCGAGCGCAGGCGGUUCUUUAAGUCUGAAGUUAAAGGCAGUGGCUUAACCAUUGUACGCUUUGGUAACUGGCGGACUUGAGUGCAGAAGGGGAGAGUGGAAUUCCAUGUGUAGCGGUGAAAUGCGUAGAUAUAUGGAGGAACACCGGUGGCGAAAGCGGCUCUCUGGUCUGUAACUGACACUGAGGCUCGAAAGCGUGGGGAGCAAACAGG